CCGGUGAAAAUCCGGUGAAAUACUGAGCAGUAUUGAGCCCGAUAUCUGUAUAAUACUGAUGACGAAUUGUAUAUCAACUAAGUAUCUGUCAUAAUUUACUGGAGAUGGAGAAAGCUGCUUUUUGAAGAAGCUUCUUCUUCUUCAGUUUAAUAGAUCAAAUUUUAUCGCUCAAAUUUUGGAGCAAUCUUAUCAGCCCAGUUUAUUUACUUCCCCUCACAAUCAACGAUUUAACAUUAAUUUUUGUGUCCUCAUUUCAAAUUAAACAGCCGAAAAAAAUUCUAAAUUUCAGUUUUGAUAAAUGACAUUUCAAAAACGUUUACCAUCUCUCCGAAAUUUAUAUUGUGGUGCGUAUAAUAAGAGGGACCUAUAAGUACAUACAAAACGAUUACAUAUAAAUGAUUCUAUAUUCUACGAUAUAAUGGGUUUGCCAAGAGGAAGUGAUUUAAUGUUCAACGGCCUAUUCAUGCGAGAAGGAUAUCGCAUCCAGGACAGGAUAUCACAACAAAACAUUUGUUUACCAGAGACACAAGAGGAUUAUUUCUUUUUUUUGCAUGAAGAGUCGGCCAAACACUUCAAACCACUUGAAAUCCAAAGGAUCAUUAGUUACCACAACACAGAAUACAAAAAAAUAAACAACACAAUAUGGAACCAACACCACAUUUAGACGGCAACACACAAUAAAAGGACAAUAAGGACCACACUUUUCUACAACUGUAUAUAAUAAAUCAAACGAAAGACAAUCAUGUUUGCAUUAGGGUUUUUUCUGUAUUGAGAUGAAAAAUGUUGAUUUUUUUUUGUGUGUUUGUGGAAAUUGGUGCUAGGAAAUGAGUUAUAUCU